rnacentral:rRNA from 1 species
AUUGAACGCUGGCGGCAGGCUUAACACAUGCAAGUCGAGCGGGGACUUCGGUCCUAGCGGCGAACGGGUGAGGAAUGCUUGGGAAUCUGCCCAGUAGCGGGGGAUAACGUUUCGAAAGGAACGCUAAUACCGCAUACGCCCUACGGGGGAAAGGGGGGGAUCUUCGGACCUCUCACUAUUGGAUGAGCCCAAGUCGGAUUGGCUAGUUGGUGGGGUAAAGGCCUACCAAGGCGACGAUCCGUAGCUGGUCUGAGAGGAUGAUCAGCCACACUGGAACGGAGACACGGUCCAGACUCCUACGGGAGGCAGCAGUGGGGAAUAUUGGACAAUGGGCGAAAGCCCGAUCCAGCCAUGCCGCGUGUGUGAAGAAGGCCUUCGGGUUGUAAAGCACUUUAAGCGAGGAGGAAUGGCUGAGGGUUAAUAACCUUCAGCAGUGACGUUACUCGCAGAAUAAGCACCGGCUAACUCUGUGCCAGCCGCCGCAGUAAAAC